UCCAGACUCCUACGGGAGGCAGCAGUGGGGAAUAUUGCACAAUGGGGGAAACCCUGAUGCAGCGACGCCGCGUGAAGGAAGAAGGCUUUCGGGUUGUAAACUUCUUUUAAGGGGGAAGAGCAGAAGACGGUACCCCUUGAAUAAGCCACGGCUAACUACGUGCCAGCAGCCGCGGUAAUACGUAGGUGGCAAGCGUUGUCCGGAUUUACUGGGUGUAAAGGGCGUGCAGCCGGAGAGACAAGUCAGAUGUGAAAUCCACGGGCUCAACCCGUGAACUGCAUUUGAAACUGUUUCCCUUGAGUGUCGGAGAGGUAAUCGGAAUUCCUUGUGUAGCGGUGAAAUGCGUAGAUAUAAGGAAGAACACCAGUGGCGAAGGCGGAUUACUGGACGAUAACUGACGGUGAGGCGCGAAAGCGUGGGGAGCAAACAGGAUUAGAUACCCUUGUAA
rnacentral:rRNA from 1 species